rnacentral:rRNA from 1 species
UACAGAGACUGCGAGCGUUAUUCGGAUUCACUGGGCGUAAAGGGUGCGCAGGCGGCCGAGUGUGUGAGGCGUGAAAGCCCGGGGCUUAACCCCGGAAUUGCACCUCAAACUACACGGCUAGAGCAUUGGAGAGGGUAGCAGAAUUCACGGUGUAGCAGUGAAAUGCGUAGAUAUCGUGAGGAAUACCAGAGGCGAAGGCGGCUACCUGGACAAUUGCUGACGCUCAGGCACGAAAGCGUGGGGAGCAAAAGGG